AUCGAUUUACAAGAAAUAAAUCUGAAGAUAAUAAAUAACGCUAGAUAAAUUGAAUGAAGAAUAUAUAAAAUACACAAAGUUUGAGUUGUUUUGUAAGUUGUGUGAGCGCGGCGCAGAGGGCGCAGAGGGGGCAGCGAGCGCGUGCGCGGCCGCCGCCCGCCCGCAGUCUGCGCUCUGCGCCCGCGCUCGCAUCACGCGCCGCACUCAGUCCGGGUAUCUCUUUCUCCGAGAUGCAUUCGUAUAGCGUUUAAGGAUUUUUAAAGAAGUUUUUGGUAAUUUCGCUUAUUUGUGUUGGAGGAACGAUCGAUGGCGCCAUGAGAUACGAUUGUUUUGUUUCAUUUCCACGUCGCGCCGUAGACUGCGGAGCAGAGUGCCGGGAGCGGCUUGCCUUCUCUGUACAGAAUUGACAGUAACAACCGCCAUCGUAACAUGUAUAAGUUGAACAUUGGCAGAAAUAAAAAGAAACUAAUGUUUUAAGGUUUUA